UACAGAGGGUGCGAGCGUUAAUCGGAAUUACUGGGCGUAAAGCGCGCGUAGGCGGCUUUGCAAGUCGGGUGUGAAAUCCCCAGGCUUAACCUGGGAACUGCAUUCGAGACUGCAUUGCUAGAGUAUGGGAGAGGGAAGUGGAAUUUCCGGUGUAGCGGUGAAAUUCGUAGAUAUUCGGAAGAACACCAGUGGCGAAGGCGGCUCACUGGACCGGCAUUGACGCUGAGGUGCGAAAGCGUGGGGAGCAAACAGG
rnacentral:rRNA from 1 species